GCCCCUUUGUGUGACUAAAUUUGGCAAGAAUAUGGAUCCGAGCCAGUCUUUCCACGUGUGCUCCCAGCUCCCAGCUGAGAAGGCCAAGGGUUCUCUUCCGGGUAAGGAGACAGGGAGAAAGAUCAAAGAGUUUGGGGAGCUGGAUCUGAAAUGUGAAUUGAAAAUAAAAAUCAAGCCUGGACACAUUCCAGUUUCUAAAGCAAAACCAACCCUCAGCAGAGGCCGUCGCGCUAUGACUCCCCUUCUCCCUCCACUCCUUUUUACUCUUCUCUCCCUUUCUUUCCCCGCAACCGUUCUUGAGCACGUGGAAUAAAAUAAAGAGGACAUAGGGAAACAUUUAGUUCCUCCAGAUUUUGUCUUGCAGUAAUUUUUAUUAGGGAAAAUAUCUUGUUCAUAAUUACUGUUAUGUGAAGCCGAAUUUCUUGAGCCAUAAAUAUUGUCUUAUUGGCAGUAUGCUUCACACUUUCUUCUGUGGCCACAUUGGGAAGAGAACGUUGACAACACCUGUGUACAUGUUCAUCGUGCAUGGUGCUUCUCUUGCUACACACGAUAUGAUGCACUACAUAGUUUUUUUCCCCACAGAAGUUAGAUCCUGCAAAAACAAUGCUAAUAUUUUUUUUUUAUCAGAGCACUAUCUAUCUGGGGUCUAUGGUUUGAAAUCCUGUUGACAGACUUCUGAAAUCUUUUCCUACAGGCGACUAGCUAGAAAGUUUGUCUUUAUAGUUUAAAAAAACCACAAGGCCCCUUUUGGAAUACACUACUUGAGCAGUAUUCUGUUGUUUUAGAAGCAACGCAGUAUGAAGAGACUGCUUUGAAAUAGUGUAAUGCGGGGUUGGAAAUCCUGGUUCCGUGGUGGGCACCACGGCUGUCAUGCCAUGCUGUGCUGACCUCAAGCAAGCCAUUUCCGGUCUUUCUUUCUGCAGAAUGGGUGUAAUAAUGGCCUACUUGACAAGAUUGUUGUAAGAAUUCAGUGAGGUAAUGCAUGUGAAAGUAGGAAGCAAAGAUGAUUCUUCAGGAGACCUGUACGUUGCAACACGAAAACUUCUAAGGCACUAGGAGUCUCUACCACAGGAGUAAAUGGGGAUGGUUUCACACUUGCUCAUCUACUGCUGUGGCCAUCUCCAUAUCUGCAAGUUGUGUUACAAAGGCACCAAAAUCAUCGUAGCAUUUGUUACCCCUGGAAGUGUGAUGAGAGAAAAAACAUUGCAGGGAGAGAGAGAAUGUGAUUUACCUCUGCCUCAUGCUUGUGAUGGGUUCCUAAUGGAUAGAUAAAUGGAUGUAGACAAAUGAUACUGGGAAUAGAAUAUUAUUUUGGGAGGCAUUUGACACAGCUCAUAAUAACUCUGAGACCUUAGUAGUAUGAUGGUCUAUGAAAGGGUUAACAUGUAGCACGUAUAGAUAAAACACUCAAAACAACAACAUUAAGAACGCAGAGGGGAGUGACUAGAAAGGUGUGUAAGAGACGUUUCUUGGGACUGAGUAAAUCCCAUCAGAAUUUACGUUUCAGCAUAGAAUGUGAUCACAUAGCUCAGACUGAGGCAUCUCAAGUUUACAAGGCAAUAAAGGUUAUGGCUAGAGCUGGGUGUGUAGCACUGAGGGCAUUUAGCUGAGUGUGCUUCAUUUGUGAUCUUCCCUAACUUAAGAUAGCCCCUCCGAUGGAAUCAUUUCCUGGGCUCCACCUCCCAGUAUAAGCUUUCCAGUGAGACCUGUGUACAGAGUGAUGAAAGCAGGAGUAAGGGGGUGGUUUCCAGUGUUCUGGUUCUAGUCUCCUUCUGUGGCCCAAGGCUGCCCAGGUACGAGUCCUCCUGAGAUGCUCUAUCUCUUUGGGCUGCCUUCUGCUAGUAGCAACACUCAGAUCUUGCAAAUGGUGUUGAAGGAGCUCUAUAGCAACAGGGGUGGGGGGGGGUGGGGAGUACUUAUGUUCUUCCUUUCACCCUUCUUAACGGAUGCAGCCAUUUUGAAAUUUAUUUUUGGCUGGAAAAAGAACAUGGACCAAGGCACUGAGGAUUUUGUCUUGUUUUGGGGGGCAAUGGGGAGGCCCUGAAAAUACUUAAGGAAAACCUGGGGCCCUCCAUUGGAGAAAAUAAACUCUCUGAAUGGGGAGGCAUGGUUAAAGGAUUUUCUUAUUUUUAUAAAUCUGUUUCCUCAGUGGAUAUGGUAAUGAGGUGUUUCUUGAAUCGAGGUAAAUGCACCUCUUAAGAUGGGUGGCCUCUGUAGUCUUUUCAGGCCUCCUGGGCUGUAGGAGCAGGGCCCUGGGCUCUGUCAGCAUUGAGCCAGAGUCUAAUCCCUGGUCUGAGGCGAGAAGCCAAAGCCACAGCCUUCUUGCCUGAAGGCAAGGGCAGUACCAACAGAGCCAUAUGGAGAUUAAUGAAGAACAAGGUCAUUAGUCUCAUUGUUUAUCCAGUUACUCACAGCACAGAUUUGUGUAAAUUUCAGCUACCGUGGUUGCAGUCUGUCUUUGAUGUGUGUAAUCUAUACAUUUUAGUGCCCCAGGAAAGCGCCUGACAGGAACUACAUCCGAUGCCCAGAAAACACAUCUACACAGGCACAGUGCAGCAUGUUGAACAAUUUUCUAGUGAGUUCCAUCAAAGUAAAUAAACCAACCUGGAUGGUCAGGA
rnacentral:lncRNA from 1 species